rnacentral:rRNA from 1 species
ACAAGCGUGGAUGAUGUGGAUUAAUUCGAUGCAACGCGAAGAACCUUACCUACCCUUGACAUGUCCGGAACUUGCCAGAGAUGGCUUGGUGCCCGAAAGGGAAUCGGAACACAGGUGCUGCAUGGCUGUCGUCAGCUCGUGUCGUGAGAUGUUGGGUUAAGUCCCGCAACGAGCGCAACCCUUAUCAUUAGUUGCUACGCAAGGGCACUCUAAUGAGACUGCCGGUGACAAACCGGAGGAAGGUGGGGAUGACGUCAAGUCCUCAUGGCCCUUAUAGGUGGGGCUACACACGUCAUACAAUGGCCUGUACAGAGGGUAGCCAACCCGCGAGGGGGAGCCAAUCCCACAAAGCCGGUCGUAGUCCGGAUCGCAGUCUGCAACUCGACUGCGUGAAGUCGGAAUCGCUAGUAAUCGCGGAUCAGCAUGUCGCGGUGAAUACGUUCCCGGGUCUU